AUACGGAGGGGGCUAGCGUUGUUCGGAUUUACUGGGCGUAAAGCGCGCGUAGGCGGUAUAUCAAGUUAGGCGUGAAAGCCCCGGGCUCAACCCGGGAACUGCGCUUAUUACUGAUAAACUAGAGUCCGGGAGAGGGUGGCGGAAUUCCCAGUGUAGAGGUGAAAUUCGUAGAUAUUGGGAAGAACACCAGUUGCGAAGGCGGCCACCUGGACCGGUACUGACGCUGAGGUGCGAAAGCGUGGGGAGCAAACAGGAUUAGAUACCCCGGUAGUCC
rnacentral:rRNA from 1 species